UACGAAGGGGGCUAGCGUUGUUCGGAGUUACUGGGCGUAAAGGGCGCGUAGGCGGCGCAUCAAGUCAGGGGUGAAAUCCCGGGGCUCAACCUCGGAACUGCCUUUGAUACUGCGGGUCUUGAGUCCGAUAGAGGUGGGUGGAAUUCCUAGUGUAGAGGUGAAAUUCGUAGAUAUUAGGAAGAACACCGGUGGCGAAGGCGGCCCACUGGAUCGGUACUGACGCUGAGGUGCGAAAGCGUGGGGAGCAAACAGG
rnacentral:rRNA from 1 species